rnacentral:rRNA from 1 species
UACAGAGGGUGCGAGCGUUAAUCGGAAUUACUGGGCGUAAAGCGCGCGCAGGCGGCCGGUUGCGUCCGGGGUGAAAGCCCGAAGCUCAACUUCGGGAUUGCCUUGGAUACGGGCUGGCUUGAGGAUCGGAGAGGCAAGGGGAAUUCCACGUGUAGCGGUGAAAUGCGUAGAGAUGUGGAGGAACACCUGUGGCGAAGGCGCCUUGCUGGCCGAUUUCUGACGCUGGGGCGCGAAAGCAUGGGGAGCAAAC